UGGGCCGUCGCCAAGCGGUAAGGCACCGGGUUUUGAUCCCGGCAUUCGCAGGUUCGAAUCCUGCCGGCCCAG
rfam:Thioalkalivibrio nitratireducens DSM 14787, complete genome.